rnacentral:rRNA from 1 species
GAUGAACGCUGGCGGCGUGCCUAAUACAUGCAAGUCGAGCGAACGGACGAUAAUCUUGCUUCUCUGAUGUUAGCGGCGGACGGGUGAGUAACACGUGGAUAACCUACCUAUAAGACUGGUAUAACUUCGGGAAACCGGAGCUAAUACCGGAUAAUAUUUUGAACCGCAUGGUUCAAAAGUGAUAUACGGUCUUGCUUUCACUUAUAGAUGGAUCCGCGCUGCAUUAUCUAGUUGGUAAGGUAACGGCUUACCAAGGCAACGAUGCAUAGCCGACCUGAGAGGGUGAUCGGACACACUGGAACUGAGACACGGUACAGACGCCUACGGGAGGCAGCAGAAGGGAAUAUUCCGAAAUGGGCGAAAGCAUGACGGAGCAACGCCGCGUGAGUGAUGAAGGUCUUCGGAUCGUAAAACUCUGUUAUUAGGGAAGAAAAUAUGUGUAAGUAACUGUGCACAUAUUGACGGUACCUAAUCAGAAAGCAACGGCUAACUACGUG